GAGAGAGAGAGAGAGAGAGAGAGAGAGAGAGAGAGAAAGAUAGAGAGAAAGAGAGAGAGAGAGAGAGAGAGAGAAAGAGAGGAGCGAGAAACGAAGCUCCACGCUUGUUAGAUUUAGAGAGAAAGAAGGAAAUUGUCAUUUUAUUAGCAAGAAAUGGGGAGAAGGAAGAAGGUUGGGCGAGGAGACAACGAUCUUCAUUGAUAAUUUUCUUUUUAUUUCUCCCUCUCCGAUCUUUUGGCGCGAUUCUCUCUCGCCAAUAUGACGGCGGCAUGUAUUUUUACCAUUUAUUUCUCUACUAUUUUUUAUUUUAAGCUAAGGAAACCUGGAUGGAGACUCGAAAUAGUUUUCUCGGUUUCCCCGGUUUUACGCGUUUUAUUUUAAAAUAAGGAACGGCGAGAGGAUCGCGUCACAAGAAUGGGGUUUAGAAGUUUGACGCCUCGAUUUAAAAAGGGGGAAAAAAAAAAAAAAAGGAACAGCGCAAAGAAUGAU